GUCUAUAGCCAUACCACCCUGAAUGUGCCCGAUCUCAUCUGAUCUCAGAAGCUAGGCAGGGUUGGACCUGGUUAGUACUUGGAUGGGAGAUUUACUUUCUAGUUAAUAUGAUGUUUUUCCUGGUUAAUGUAAUUU
ensembl:rRNA 5S_rRNA 5S ribosomal RNA